GGCUGCUUGAGGCUGGCUGCAGAAGGGAGUCAAUCCCAUAGACUCCCCAUGUUAAAAUGCCCAACUUUAAAGCAGGAAAAAACAUGUUUACAGCCUGGUGUAAGAAAUUAUUUUGGUCUAUAUAGCUAAUUUUACCCUUCGUGACAAAUUUGAGGGGGUGAUUUUUUUUUUAUAACUCAUCCUGAUUGUAGCAGGAAGGGUUAUUACCCCUCCUUCAUCAUCGUUUAGUGUUUAGCCAAUGGCUAGGCGUCCAGGGUGUAUAAGAGCAUGAGCUACCAGUUCCUUGGCAUGCGUCAUUAUCCGGGGCUGUGACGUCAUCCAUGCGCCCUGUUACUUUCUGUUUGGAGUUAGCGUAAAAUGUGCUGCUUGUAAAACUUGCCCAAGCUGUUUAUCCACUGGCGGGUCUAUGUGCUUGUUUGGAGAGUUGAAUGUGGACACUUGAGACAGGGCCUGGGCACCCGGGGGCAGACGUGUGACCAAUUAGGUGGUAGGGUCUUCACUGUAGUGGUCUUCUCUGACAUGAGUCGUGGAGUGUGUGCUGUGCUGGUGUGUGUGCACUGAAUGGGGUGCUCUUCAUAGAGGUGAUAUCUUGAGACUGCCCUUGGGUAUGCCCAGGAUCCUCUGCAGCCAACGUUAGAAAUUAAUAAAUUGAAGAGUGAUUGCUGGUCAACACCUUUUAUACAAAAGGACUGUCUUUUUAACAAUUAAUAAAUUGUAUGUUUUUUUCAAUCACCUAUGUCUCUGACUCCAACUGUGGUUAAGGAUCUGUGUGUGCCUUAGCUUAGGGGUUAUAUUAAAUUCUUUGGGCGAAAUUCCCCAAGUGGCGUAGUCGGAAAUAAUUAACUGAAUUGAGCGUGGGUAUAGAUCGUUCCGCCCAAUGUCAUAAAAUAGAACCGUCACUCCCGAGCGCUUUGCCACAUUAUUAAUUAUAUUAAGCCUUAAAUUUCUGCAUAAUUAUUGGGGUGGCCACUUGAGUGAAGGGUGGAUUGCCGCUGCUGACAGUGCUGUUGUGCUAGGUGGGUGGGCUUCAGCAACAAGCUCCCACCUUUUUGCCCAUUUUUGAUUACCCCGGAGUGACGUGCGUUGUUGCGCUACCCACUUUUGGUUUCAUAAACUCUCUUUGGAAACCUAUGGGUGACGUCAUGGACACUACAUCCAUGUUU
rnacentral:lncRNA from 1 species